UAAGCAUAUCAAUAAGCGGAGGAAAAGAAAAUAACAAUGAUUCCCCUAGUAACGGCGAGUGAACAGGGAAAAGCUCAAAGUUGGAACCUCCUGGUCCUAGAUUAGGCGGAUUGUAAACUAAAGCUCUUGGGUAGUACGGUUGGCCUGAUAAAAAAGUUCUCUGGAAAGAGGCGACAUAGAGGGUGAUAUCCCCGUCUUUGGUCAGAGCUCAAUCAUGCGUUUGCCCUUUAGCGAAGAGUCAGGUUGUUUGGGAAUGCAGCCUAAAAUGGGAGGUAAAUCUCUCCUAAAGCUAAAUAUUGACGAAAGACCGAUAGCGAACAAGUACCGUGAGGGAAAGAUGAAAAGCACUUUGAAAAGAGGGUCAAAAAGUACGUGAAAUUGCUGAAAGGGAACCGUAUGAAAUCAGUCUGAUGUGUUGGUAAUCAAUCUGGAUCUCGAUCUGGAUGCACUUGCCGAUGUAUUAGCCUGCGACAGUUUGAUCUGGAGGAAAAAAGAUGGGAGAAUGUGGCCUUGGCUUCGGUUAAGGUGUUAUAGCUCCUGUCAAAAUACUUUGGAUUGGACUGAGGACUGCAGCGAGCCGCAAGGUAAAGGUCUCGGGCGCUUGUUCUGGCUAUGUAAGAAAUCUCUGCUUCGGGUGGUAUCUUGCCUAAUCGGGACAACACGCUUGUUUCUCUUUUUUCUCGCUUAGGUCGUAGGCAUAAUGAUUUUAUA
rnacentral:rRNA from 1 species